rnacentral:rRNA from 1 species
UACGGAGGAUCCGAGCGUUAUCCGGAUUUAUUGGGUUUAAAGGGAGCGUAGGUGGAUUGUUAAGUCAGUUGUGAAAGUCUGCGGCUCAACCGUAAAAUUGCAGUUGAAACUGGCAGUCUUGAGUACAGUAGAGGUGGGCGGAAUUCGUGGUGUAGCGGUGAAAUGCUUAGAUAUCACGAAGAACUCCGAUUGCGAAGGCAGCUCACUAGACUGCAACUGACACUGAUGCUCGAAAGUGUGGGUAUCAAACAGG